AUACGGAGGGUGCAAGCGUUAUCCGGAAUCAUUGGGUUUAAAGGGUUCGUAGGCGGGUCAAUAAGUCAGAGGUGAAAUCUUGCAGCUUAACUGUAAAAUUGCCUUUGAUACUGUUGACCUUGAAUUACUGUGAAGUGGUUAGAAUAUGUAGUGUAGCGGUGAAAUGCUUAGAGAUUACAUAGAAUACCGAUUGCGAAGGCAGAUCACUAACAGUAUAUUGACGCUGAUGAACGAAAGCGUGGGUAGCGAACGGGAUUAGAAACCCUAGUAGUCC
rnacentral:rRNA from 1 species